UACGGAGGGUGCAAGCGUUGUUCGGAAUUACUGGGCGUAAAGCGCGCGCAGGCGGCCCUUUAAGUCCGUCGGUCAAAUUCCGGGGCUCAACCCCGGAGCUGCUCCUGAUACUGCACGUCUGGAGACCGGUAGAGGCUGGUGGAAUUCCCGGUGUAGCGGUGGAAUGCGUAGAGAUCGGGAAGAACACCCGUGGCGAAGGCGGCCAGCUGGGCCGGUUCUGACGCUGAGGCGCGAAAGCGUGGGGAGCAAACAGG
rnacentral:rRNA from 1 species